ACCUUAUUUGAUUUUCUUCGGAACUGAAGAUUUGGUGAUUGAGUGGCGGACGGGUGAGUAACGCGUGGGUAACCUGCCCUGUACAGGGGGAUAACAGUCAGAAAUGACUGCUAAUACCGCAUAAGACCACAGCACCGCAUGGAUGCAGGGGUAAAAACUCCGGUGGUACAGGAUGGACCCGCGUCUGAUUAGCUGGUUGGUGAGGUAACGGCUCACCAAGGCGACGAUCAGUAGCCGGCUUGAGAGAGUGACCGGCAACAUUGGGAUUGAGACACGGCCCAAAUUCUUACGGGAGCCAACCAUUGGGGAAUAUGCACCAAUGGGGGAAACCCUGAUGCAGCGAACGCCGCGGUGAGUGAAGAAGUAUCUCGGUAUGUAAAGCUCUAUCAGCAGGGAAGAUAAUGACGGUACCUGACUAAGAGGCCCCGGCUAAAUACGUGCCAGCAGCCGCGGUAAUACGUAGGGGGCAAGCGUUAUCCGGAAUUACUGGGUGUAAAGGGUGCGUAGGUGGUAUGGCAAGUCAGAAGUGAAAACCCAGGGCUUAACUCUGGGACUGCUUUUGAAACUGUCAGACUGGAGUGCAGGAGAGGUAAGCGGAAUUCCUAGUGUAGCGGUGAAAUGCGUAGAUAUUAGGAGGAACAUCAGUGGCGAAGGCGGCUUACUGGACUG
rnacentral:rRNA from 1 species